rnacentral:rRNA from 1 species
UGGGGAAUAUUGGACAAUGGGGGCAACCCUGAUCCAGCCAUGCCGCGUGAGUGAUGAAGGCCUUCGGGUUGUAAAGCUCUUUUGGCGGGGACGAUGAUGACGGUACCCGCAGAAUAAGCCCCGGCUAACUUCGUGCCAGCAGCCGCGGUAAGACGAAGGGGGCUAGCGUUGUUCGGAAUUACUGGGCGUAAAGCGAGUGUAGGCGGUUGCCGUAGUCAGGUGUGAAAGCCUUGAGCUCAACUCAAGAAAUGCACUUGAUACUGGGUGACUAGAGGACCGGAGAGGAUAGUGGAAUUCCCAGUGUAGUGGUGAAAUACGUAGAGAUUGGGAAGAACACCAGUGGCGAAGGCGGCUAUCUGGACGGUUACUGACGCUAAGACUCGAAAGCGUGGGGAGCAAACAGGAUUAGAUACCCUGGUAGUCCACGCCGUAAACGAUGGGUGCUAGACGUUGGCGAGCUUGCUCGUCAGUGUCGCAGCUAACGCGUUAAGCACCCCGCCUGGGGAGUACGGCCGCAAGGUUGAAACUCAAAAGGAAUUGACGGGGUCAUAGCUGUUUCCU